rnacentral:rRNA from 1 species
GACAGAGGUGCCAAGCGUUAGGCGGAAUCACUGGGCUUAAAGCGUGUGUAGGCGGAAUUCUAAGUACCUUGUGAAAUCCCACGGCUCAACCGUGGAACUGCUCGGUAUACUGGCAAUCUCGAGUCCGGAAGAGGUUGGUGGAACAGCUAGUGUAGAGGUGAAAUUCGUAGAUAUUAGCUAGAACACCAGUGGCGAAGGCGGCCAACUGGUCCGGUACUGACGCUGAGGUGCGAAAGCGUGGGGAGCAAACAGG